rnacentral:rRNA from 1 species
GACGAACGCUGGCGGCGUGCUUAACACAUGCAAGUCGAGCGGAAAGGCUCCUUCGGGGGUACUCGAGCGGCGAACGGGUGAGUAACACGUGAGUAAUCUGCCCUUGGCUUUGGGAUAAGCCCCGGAAACGGGGUCUAAUACCGGAUACGACGCACUCUCGCAUGGGAUGUGUGUGGAAAGUUUUUUCGGCCAGGGAUGUGCUCGCGGCCUAUCAGCUUGUUGGUGGGGUAAUGGCCUACCAAGGCUUCGACGGGUAGCCGGCCUGAGAGGGUGACCGGCCACACUGGGACUGAGACACGGCCCAGACUCCUACGGGAGGCAGCAGUGGGGAAUAUUGGACAAUGGGCGGAAGCCUGAUCCAGCAACGCCGCGUGAGGGA